UUGUUUUUAUACGUCUUUCACGGUGAACCUGCCUGCACUGAAAUAUCCCUGUUAAAUAAAAAUGUAUUCAACGUAAAUGAUUUUUUUUGGCAGGUUGGACUUUGUUGUGAGUGGACACCUGGACGAUGGAACGCCGUGAAAGUGAUGUGAAGCCAGUGAAAAGUGUUGUAACUGUCCGUGGUGUGAAAAAGAUACGGAAAAAGUGCGUCGUGCCACACCCAGGGGCAGGCCACGUGUCCUGUGCCUGCCCCGCCCGCAGGGGCCUGGAGGAAGCGGCGCAGCGUUGCAUCGGGCCUGCCGGAAGUAUGCGUCCUGCGCCCCAUGGCUGGAGUACAGCCCGGGCGGUGCGGGGCGGCAGAAACCCCACUGAGCCCUGAUGCGGCGCUGUGCCGGGGGCGCCGGGCCCCUGCCGUCACUUCAGAGCUGACCUGCUGGCAGGUGGAGGCCGCGGCGCCGACCGGCUAGUAAGGAGGCGGCCGCUGGCUCUGCUCUUCAGUGUCGGUAAGUACCUUGCAUGCCUCGCCGAGGGACAGCGUCGAGGGACCUCAGCAGCGACGGACACCACCGCGUGGUGUCAAGGUAAAUACGAGGACGUCAUUUGUUGGGUUAGUGUAAGGCACCGCGAGGAUGCUGACCUCUGGCUUGCUUUUCAGGCACACUAAUCUUACCGGCCUUGACCUUACAGACGUGUAAAUAUCAGGAAUUUUGUUCAGGGCCGCAGAAGCAAGACACUCCACGCUCAUUUCGCAGAGUGAGAUCUUGGCAAGAAGACCUCCAAGAUGCUGAGCGACAUCGUGUGGAGUUUACUCAAGAGAGCAAAGUGGGAAAAUGUAAAGAAACUCAACUCAAAUAAAGAAAAAAAGGAGAAGAAUGCGAGGAAAGGAGCCACGGAGGAACGAAGGAAGGAAGAACAAGAUAAGUGGAGAGUAAACAUUGCCUGCCACCGUUACGAAGGAGACGCGAUCCAUACACAUUUAAGCUUCUACAGGUGAAGAACUACCUGUGGCAAGGAAAUAAUGACAAGAAAAAGAGGAGGAACGAAGUAUGGAUGAAUGAAUUAGACUAGAGAGGACCGGAAGCAUCUACUAAACAGCGAAUGAACAAUGAAGAUGUGAAGAGAAAAUACGCCACCUACUUUGAUGAAGGAUUCGUAGUCCAUCUUGUACCAUCCACACAUGUUGAA